rnacentral:rRNA from 1 species
AUUGAACGCUAGCGGGAUGCCUUACACAUGCAGGUCGAACGGCGUGGCGAACGGGUGAGUAAUGUAUCGGAACGUGCCCAGUAGCGGGGGAUCACUACGCGAAAGCGUAGCUAAUUCCCCCUACUAUUGGAUCGGCCGUGAUCGGAUUAGCUAGUUGGUGGGGUAACGGCUCCCCAAGGAGAGUAUCCGGAGCUGGUUGGAGAGGACGACCAGCCACACUGGGACUGAGACACGGCCCUGACUCCUACGGGAGGCAGCAGUGGGGAAUUUUGGACAAUGGGGGAAACCCUGAUCCAGCCAUCCCGCGUGUGCGAUGAAGGCCUUCGGGUUGUAAAGCACUUUUGGCAGGAAAGCGGUACCUGCAGAAUCAGCACCGGCUAACUACGUGCCAGCAGCCGCGGUAAUUC